rnacentral:rRNA from 1 species
GCAUAAUCGAUAGUUUUUUAAUUGAAAGCUGGAAUGAAGGGUUUUAGACUGAAGAGAUAGUUUUAUUUGGUUGUCUUGAAUUUAAAUUAAAAGUAAAAAUGCUUUUAUAAAGUUUUGGGACGAGAAGACCCUAGAAGCUUAAAAUUGAAAAAUUUUUGGUUGGGGUAACAUUUGAAGAUAAAAAUUUUUGAAAGAUCUAAAAUAACUUAAAAAUAAAGUUACUCUAGGGAUAACAGCAUAAUUUGAUUAACAAGUUCUUAUUAAUAAUCAAGUUUGUGACC